rnacentral:rRNA from 1 species
GAUGAACGCUAGCGGGAUGCCUAACACAUGCAAGCCGAGCGGUCUUGUUUCUUCCUUAAUGCUCGAGCGGCGUACGCGUGCGUAACACUUGUGCAACCUUCCUUUAUCUGUGGGAUAGCCUUUCCAAAGGAAGACUAAUACUCCAUAAUAUAUUUAACUUCAUCGUUAAAUAUUGAAAGCUCCGGACGAUUUUGCUGGCCACGCUCAAGAUUAGCGAGCUGGUUAGGUAACGGCUAACCAAGACGACGAACUUUAGGGGGCCUGGGGAGCUGAUCCACCACAAUGGUACUGAGACACAGACCAGAAUGCUACGGGAGGCAGGAGUGAGGAAUGUUAGUCAAUGAGUGCAAGCCGGAACCCGCCAUCCCGCGUGAAGGACGACUGCCCUAGGGGUUGUAAACUUCUAGUGUAGAGGGAUAAACCUACCCUCGAGAGGGUAGCUGAAGGUACUAUACGAAUAAGCACCGGCUAACUCCGUG